AGUAAACGCUGGCGGUAGGCCUAACACAUGCAAGUCGAACGGCAGCACAGUAAGAGCUUGCUCUUACGGGUGGCGAGUGGCGGACGGGUGAGGAAUACAUCGGAAUCUACUUUUUCGUGGGGGAUAACGUAGGGAAACUUACGCUAAUACCGCAUACGACCUACGGGUGAAAGCAGGGGAUCUUCGGAUCUUGCGCGAUUGAAUGAGCCGAUGUCGGAUUAGCUAGUUGGCGGGGUAAAGGCCCACCAAGGCGACGAUCCGUAGCUGGUCUGAGAGGAUGAUCAGCCACACUGGAACUGAGACACGGUCCAGACUCCUACGGGAGGCAGCAGUGGGGAAUAUUGGACAAUGGGCGCAAGCCUGAUCCAGCCAUACCGCGUGGGUGAAGAAGGCCUUCGGGUUGUAAAGCCCUUUUGUUGGGAAAGAAAAGCAGCAGGUUAAUACCCCGCUGUUCUGACGGUACCCAAAGAAUAAGCACCGGCUAACUUCGUG
rnacentral:rRNA from 1 species